CUUGUUGCUUUUUUCCAUGUGUCCUCUCCACUUUCUUCUUCUCACCUCUUUCAUGAAAAAAAUUUCAAUAAUCUAUAGAUAUCUAUGAACUAACUCUUUUUUGUCUUCUAUGCCCCAUGGAUCUCUUUCUUUUUGGCCAUGUCUUUUUUUUCUUUUCUUAAGUUUUAUUUCCAAUUUUGUUUUUUUGUCCCAAAUUAGGGGUUAGGGCAGCAUUGUCUUUAAGUAUUUAUUGUUCAUAUAUUAUAUGCAUUUAUAACUUAUAAGAAUCAUAUAGUAGCAUACCGUAAAAAAAUUAAUAAAUACCAUUCCUUAACCAUAAUAUUUUGAAUCAAUCAUCUCACUUUGAAUUUAGGGUUCUAGAGAAAAUGUGUUUAUGAGAAGGGGUGAGAAGAGUGUUUUUUUUCUGAUUUACAGAAAUGUCAAUGAGUAACAUUAUAUUUUAAAUACAUCAUUUCUUUCUCUCUCUUCAAUCACUCUUUCCGUUUCUCCGAAACCCUCGAUCUCUUUCUUCAAUUUCUCUUCAUCUCCCCCGUGAUUUGAUUGAAUUGCUCAUCAUUCUUUCUCAAUGACUCAUAAAUUCUUGAUGAGAGGCUUUGGCACAAGCAACCUAACCCGGCCUUCUUUCUGCUCCAGUCAAUUCUCUCGUGAAGUCUCUCCUUUAGAAACUUGCAAUCUUUUAGGUAGACGACUUAGAGGAAAAGCAAGUUUCACUGUAGGAUUUGUUGCAAAUAUUGUAGGUUCAGCGGGAGGAUCUAUAUUAUAUAUGUUUAAAGAAAAAUCACACUGUAAAGAACAGUCAGCAGAUGAUGGCAAGAGGAGAGAGUAAAUUAAAUAGUAUAUAAUUCAAAAGAUUGUCGACUAAGCAUUCAUUCACUGCCAAUCGAAGAGAAUCAUCUGAUAGUAUCAACCGUGAUAGUGCCCGUGUGCUUAAACUGAAAUGACAGCACAUAACACACUGAGUUUACUAAUCAGGUGUGUUCUAUAGAGCAGUCAGCUGAUGAGUUGAAAGAUCGCUACCAGAAAUUAUUUAAAGGAUAUAAGAAGUUUAUGUGUUUAUGUGCUGAGACAAACUUCAAAGAAACUUUUUUGGCAACAGUUUGCAAGAGGUAUGCCUCUAACUUUUAUUUUAAUACUUAGUCUAAUCAUAAGUACUCUCUAUCUUAUUUUUGUUAAUUUCUUUGUUGAAUAUUUGAAUUAUAUAUAUAUGUUGAGUGUAUUAGAAACAUGGGGAACUUUCUCGUUGAAAGAUGGCAACAUCAACUGUCAGUCUUUUGGGAUCUGGUUUUUGUAAGGACAAAUUUUCACAAGAGAUUUAAAUGUUUCUAUAAAUGUUUCUAAUACAGGUAGACUCAAGAAUGAGUGCACGGUUAGUUAGAGGUCAAUCCUUUCUGGGGUACUCCAAUUAGCCCUUUUGCUUGUCUAUCUGCAGAUAUAUGUACAUAUUUAUAUUGGCAAUAUGCUGAUGCAGCAUAUACAAUUUACAGUGUUUAUGUUUCUCUGAUAUUUUAAGUCUUUUUGGCUCCUUAUAAUUUUGUUAAACGAGUCCAUUUGAAGUGGUUGUUGUUUGUUUGUGUUCAAUCUUAUUCAUUAUUAUCAUCAUUAUUAUUAUUUUAGGAUAUCUUGUGCUAUGUAUUUCCCAGCAUUGAUUUUGAUAUGCAUUUAAUUCAUAUAUUUUUUAUUUUUAUUGCUUUAUCAUGAAAAUAUUUAGGUAAUUGUUGUUGCUUUGAACAUGAAAGAACUUAUUAAGGCAUUCUUACUAUGGAAUGAAGUAACUUUGGAAAGCUCAAUUAUAGAUUUGUAUUUGACAUAACGUAUUUUAUUUUAUACAAUCUUGUAACAAAAAUCUACUCCUUGCUGAACUUUGAUGAUGUACUUGUUCCUGCCGAUCAUGUGAGCCGAAGUUAUGCUAUAACAUCAAGGAUCUCAUUGUAAUGCUCAGUUAUCAACUUCUUAACCACAGGUUAUGGAUCAACUUGGCAAGGAGCAUUGCAAAGUUAAUUAACUUGAUUAUUAAUUGCAAGAGAUUCAACAAGUGAAGUGCAAAAGAAAAUCUGAUUUGGACGGCUUUGGUGUGCUGACAUUUGGAAGAUCAUGAAUUCCUACCUGUGCUUUUGAAUAUGAAACUGUUUAAGACUAUUUUGUUGACUACUGUGAGAAUGUUUUGUUUAUGUUAAUUAGGUAGUGUUGAAUAUAUUAAGACUUUUGGAUUGUUUUUUAGAUAAUCUUGAAUGUAUUUUGACACAAUUAUUUAGUUAUAUGUGUUAUGAAACAUAUAAUUGGUACUCAAAAAUAUAUUUGUACAA